AUUAGUUAGUUCUCUCAGUCUAUUUUAGACAUAACCCAACAGAUUUACUACUUUAACUACUACAUCACAAAAGGUGUUUUCAACUACAAUAGGCUAUAAUCCAUUCCUCUUGGAUUAUACCCUUUCUCCACCUUAGGUCAAAGCCUCUUUCCAUUCACAGGAUUGCAAUGGGCAAGAACUCCUCAUCAAUAGACAAAGAUAAAUCCUCAGCAAUUGGCGAAGCCAAUCACUCCAUGGGCUGAAAGCUACUUUAUUCAAUGGACGAAGACACUCUCCAUGGGUAAAGCCAAAUAACAUUUCUACUAUUCUCGUAUUUAUA
rnacentral:misc_RNA from 1 species